rnacentral:rRNA from 1 species
UAGGGAAUCUUCGGCAAUGGGGGCAACCCUGACCGAGCAACGCCGCGUGAGUGAAGAAGGUUUUCGGAUCGUUAAAGCUCUGUUGUAAGAGAAGAACGUGUGUGAGAGUGGAAAGUUCACACAGUGACGGUAACUUACCAGAAAGGGACGGCUAACUACGUGCCCG